rnacentral:misc_RNA from 1 species
UCGAGCGUUUUUGUGAUGUGAAUGGAGAAGUGAUAAAAGUUUCCCAAAGUGAGCAAUGUUCCAUUUAAAGAGCUACAGUUUUGCUAGUAGAUAACGAUGAAAUAGUUUUAGGUGAGAAUUCGGUAUUAAUGUUUGAGGAAUUCUUCAAUAAAGUGAAAGAAAUAAAAAGGUGGCGAAAUGCCCUGUGUCAAAAACAAAGUUCCUAUUCUGGCAUUGACAGGACUUCUAACUGCCAGUUUUGGAAUUGUCAUGUUUUUUAUAUUCCCUCUUAUUAUGCAAGCUGAAAUUAAAAAGAAAUUAGUUCUAAAAGAAGGCACUGAAGGAUACAAAAAUUGGAACGAUAUUCCUGUACCCAUAUAUCUUUCUAUAUAUUUUUUUAACGUAACUAAUACUGAUGAAAUAUACAAUUACAAAAAGAAACCCGUUUUGCAAGAAUUGGGUCCAUAUACUUUUAGGUAAGUGCACUCAAUAAUCAUGA